AGCGAACGCUGGCGGCAGGCCUAACACAUGCAAGUCGAACGGAUCCUUCGGGAUUAGUGGCGGACGGGUGAGUAACACGUGGGAACGUGCCCUUUGGUUCGGAACAACUCAGGGAAACUUGAGCUAAUACCGGAUGUGCCCUUCGGGGGAAAGAUUUAUCGCCAUUGGAGCGGCCCGCGUCUGAUUAGCUAGUUGGUGAGGUAAAGGCUCACCGAGGCGAAGAUCAGUAGCUGGUCUGAGAGGAUGAUCAGCCACAUUGGGACUGAGACACGGCCCAAACUCCUACGGGAGGCAGCAGUGGGGAAUCUUGCGCAAUGGGCGAAAGCCUGACGCAGCCAUGCCGCGUGAAUGAUGAAGGUCUUAGGAUUGUAAAAUUCUUUCACCGGGGACGAUAAUGACGGUACCCGGAGAAGAAGCCCCGGCUAACUUCGUGCCAGCCGCCGCGGUAA
rnacentral:rRNA from 1 species